GAACGUCUAGGGAUUCCAGGGACCAGCGGUGCUGAUCUCUCAUUUUACACCUAGGACACAGGUUUAGAGAGGUCUUCUGACUUGCUCACGGCUACGCAGCUAGUUCGGGACCUCAUUUUCUCUUUCCUUUUGGCAGAAGUUUAAUUCUGUCUGGUUGAAACUGUGGGGACCCUGAGGAAUUUGGCAGGAGCUGUUGACUCUACCUUCUGGAUCCUACCAGAGCCACAGGAUGCUGUGAAUGUGCACGGCUUGGAACGUUCCCACCUUCCGUUAGGGGCUCAGAUCCAGAGGAGUGACUCACGCUUCCCAGAUGUAGGAACAGAAAUGUUGUGGCUGCACUGAAAGGUAUGUGGAAGGAAAUCAGCAGACGCCUGAACUUCAGCCAGGGGGACGAGAAAGGAUGACCGCACAGGCCCCAGUGCGGCAGGAGGGGGGAGCCCCUCCUCUGACCUUCUGGAAGAGGCCGAGGCAUCCAGCUUGGGUUCAAAUCCCAACUCUGCCUCCUGGACGCUGGGGGACAUUGGGCAAGUCACUUGGCUUGUCUGAUCCUUUGUUUUCUCAUCCUUUAAAUGAGGAUAAUAUCUCUCUUGCAAGUUGUUGUAAAGAUUGUGAUAUUUUAUAUAAACAUAAGUAUACAUAUAUAUAUGAGAUUAUAUAUACAUAUUUUUUAUAAGUCAUUUCAAAGCGUUCACUUUACACACAUGCACGCACACACACACCCCCUAGGUUUAAACAGUGGCUUACACAGGGCAGUCCCCCACCUCUCUGGGCUGGCCGUGUCUACACUUCAUAAAUCUGUCACAUAGAACAAAUGCACUGGUGUAAUAGAGAGUAUCAGAUAAACGUAAAGUAUUUAAAGA